rnacentral:antisense_RNA from 1 species
AUAGCCGCUUGUUCUCCGCCCUCGGUGGAACAGCUGCGUAACGGUUCACUCACUGAUGGCGCCUGGAGGUUUGGCGAAAUACUGACAGGAUGCGACGUCAACGGGAGCGCAGGGCCAAGAUACCCUUUAUAUCAAACCGUCUAUCCUGGAGCAGAAAAAUCCUGUCUUCAUUGCUAUAGCUACAGAUUCAGAAAUGAGCAUGUAACAAAUUCAGGCCAAAGAGAGGCAAUGGAAAUCAGAGAAACACUGUUCCUGAAAGCUUCUGUCACUCAAGAAUCCAUGAAACAUUCAUGAACUUCACAUCAGAUUUUAAUGCAACUUGUUACACAAGAUGAUCCCAAACAUAUUUGACUUUUAUUUUCAGAAAAGCUUAAUACAUAGUUUUGAAUAUGAAAUAAAAUCCAGUGAGAUUCAACAAAUUGUCAAGUUACACACUUCUGAAUGACAGAUUUGGGACCAGAAUCUAGACCUCAGGUUGUCUUUGCAAAUGACAUAAUCCUGUAUCUAGAAAACUCCAUUGUAUCAGCCCAAAAGCUUCUUAAGCAACUUCAGCAAAGUCUCAGGAUACAAAAUCAAUGUGGAAAAUCGCAGGCAUUGCUGUACACCAACAACAGACAAGCAGAGAGCCAAAUCAUGAAUGAACUCCCAUUCACAAUUACUGCAAAGAGAAUAAGAUACCUAGGAAUACAGCUAGCAAGGGAAGUGAAGGACCUCUUCAAGGAGAACUACAAACUACUGCUUAGGAAAAUCAGAGAGGACACAAACAAAUGGAAAAAAAUUCCAUGCUCAUGGAUAGGAAGAAUCAAUAUCAUAAAAAUGGCCAUACUGACCAAAGUAAUUUAUAGAUUCAAUGCUAUUCCCAUAAAAUUACUGAUGCUUAGCACUUUUGAGUGACUAGAUCAACUAGCUUCAUUAAACAUGAUGUUUUUUGAAAACAUAUUAAGUGUGAGCAUUACUAGCAACAUAGUGGUAGAAAAGAAAAUUGAACCAAUGAAUGGCUAAUACUGAUAUAUUCAGUAGUAACAAUAAAACAAUAAAAGUGACUCUAUUUUAGCCCUUUGUUUUGCAGUGGAAAACACUGAAGUUGUGGCAUAUGAAAAAGGUGCUUUUCAAUUGCGACAAAAGCAAAAAUUGACAAAUGGGAUCUAAUUAAACUAAAUAGCUUCUGCACAGCAAAAGAAACUAUCAACCGAGUAAACAGACAACUUGCAGAAUGGGAGAUAAUUUUUGCAAACUAUACGUGUGACAAAGGUCUAAUAUCCAGCAGCUAUAAGGAACUUAAACAAAUUUACAAGAAAAAAGCAACCCCUAAAAAUGUGGGCAAAGGACAUGAACAGAUACUUUUCAAAAUAGACAUACAUGUGGCCAAAAAUCAUAUGAAAAAGAGCUCAAUAUCACUGAUCAUUAGAGAAAUGUAAAUUAAAACUGCAAUGAGACAUCAUCUCACACCAGUCAGAAUGGCUAUUAUUAAAAAGUUAAAAAAUAAUAGGUGCUGGCAAGUUGUUGAGAAAGAGGAAUGCUUAUUCAUCAUUGGUGGGAGUGUAAAUUAGUUUAGUCAUUGUGGAAGACAGUGUGGCAAUUCCUCAAAGACCUAAAGACAGAAAUACCAUUUGACCCAGCAGUCUUAUUACUGGGUAUAUACCUAAAGGAAUACAAUCAUUCUAUUAUAAAGACACAUGCCACAUAUAUGUUCCUUGCAGCACUAUACACAAUAGCAAAGUUAUGGAAUCAACCUAAAUGUCCAUCAAUGACAGACUAGAUAAAGAAAAUGUGGUACAUAUACACCAUGGAAUACUAUGCAGCCAUUAAGAACAAGAUUAUGUCCUGUGCCAAGAUAUGGAUGGAACUGGGGGACAUUAAUCUUAGAAAACUAACACAGAAAAAGAAAACCAAAUACUGCAUGUUCUCAUAAGUGGGAGCUAAAUCAUGAGAACACAUGGACACAUAGAGGGGAGUAACACACACUAGGUCCUUUUGGAGGGUGGAAGUUAGGAGCAGGGAGAGGGUCAGGAAAAAUAACUAAUGGGUACUAGCUUAAUACCUCAGUGAUUAAAUAAUCUGUACAACAAAACCCCGUGACACGAGUUAACCUAUGUAACAAACCUGCAUUUGUACCCCUAAACUUAAAAUAAAAGUUAAAAAAGGU